ACAGCGAUGGUCUAGUGGUCAAGACACCUCACCUUUACGGCCUUGCAAACACAAGCGCACCGACAACCUACAGACGGCUGUAUGUUCUACGUACUACCUGACGGUUCUAGGGGCUGAGGAGAUCGUGUGUUCGAAUCACACUUGCUGCA
rnacentral:tRNA from 1 species